AAGUCGUAACAAGGUUUCCGUAGGUGAACCUGCGGAAGGAUCAUUAACGUGUGUCUGUACGGUCUGGUCAAUCGCCGGCCGUGCACUCCCACCCUUGUCUAUCUUACCUGUUGCUUUGGCGGACCUGCGGGUGCUUGCACCUGCUGCCGGGAUGGCGUUUGCGUCUCCGGGCUCGCGUCCGCCGAAGGUUAUUGAACUCCGAUCGAAGAUUGAAGUCUGAAGAAUAAAGAUUAAUAAAUCAAAACUUUCAACAACGGAUCUCUUGGUUCC
rnacentral:misc_RNA from 1 species